GCUUUUUUUUGUAAUCCAAACACUCGGAGGCUAGGUAUAGAGGAUAUUUUAAGGGCGGGAGUUCUGGGAUUGGUUCUCACGUUGACUAGGCGUCCUCUAAGAGUUCACCUUCAGCUCGGAUGUCGUGGAGGAGCCCAAGGUAGCCAGGUUGAUCCAAAAGGGGAAAAAAAUCAGCUCAAAAGUUACCGAGUUGAACGUCGUGGGUUUAAAUCUUGGGAGUGGGAGUUGAAUUUCAGCUUGUUUAGCAGAAACAGAUUUGUACUUUC
rnacentral:SRP_RNA from 2 species